GACGAACGCUUGCGGCAUGCCUAACACAUGCAAGUCGAACGAGACCUUCGGGUCUAGUGGCGCACGGGUGCGUAACGCGUGGGAAUCUGCCCUUAGGUUCGGAAUAACAGUUAGAAAUGACUGCUAAUACCGGAUAAUGACGUAAGUCCAAAGAUUUAUCGCCUAGGGAUGAGCCCGCGUAGGAUUAGCUAGUUGGUGGGUAAAAGACCUACCAAGGCGACGAUCCUUAGCUGGUCNGAGAGGAUGAUCAGCCACACUGGGACUGAGACACGGCCCAGACUCCUACGGGAGGCAGCAGUGGGAAUAUUGGACAAUGGGCGAAAGCCUGAUCCAGCAAUGCCGCGUGAGUGAUGAAGGCC
rnacentral:rRNA from 1 species